AGUGAACGCUGGCGGUAGGCCUAACACAUGCAAGUCGAACGGCAGCACAGUAAGAGUUUGCUCUUACGGGUGGCGGGUGGCGGACGGGUGAGGCAUACAUCGGAAGCUACUUUUUCGUGGGGGAUAACGGAGGGAGACUUACGCUAAUACCGCAUAAGACCUACGGGUGAAUGCAGGGGAUCUUGGGACAUUUCGAGAAUGAAUGAACCGUUGUCGGAUGAGUUAGUUGGCUGGGUAAAGGCCAGCCAAGGCGAAGUACAGUAGCUGGUCUGAGUGGUGGGUCAGCCACAUUGGAAUUGGGACACGGCCCAGCUCCUACCGGGAGGAGCCAGUGGGGAACAUUGGCCAAUGGGCGCAAGCCUGACCCAGACCUACCGGGUGGUUAAAGAAGGCCUUCGAGUUGUAAAGCCCUUUUGUUGGGAAAGAAAAGCAGCAGGUUAAUACCCCGCUGUUCUGACGGUACCCAAACAAUAAGCACCGGCUAACUUCGUG
rnacentral:rRNA from 1 species